CAUUCAGAAAAUACUCUUUAGACGUCUAGCCUCCCUCUCCAUUCUCUAGUUCAUUGUUGGCGUUUCAAGCAAGGCAAGGAAGAAGGAAGAACAAGCCGUGAGCAUCCCUCCACCAUCCACCUUGGAGCCGUGAAGCUUGAAUAUUUGCUUUCAAAGUUCAAGUUCAACGUCCAAAUUCUUCAUUCCCAUCUUCAUUCACGGUGUAAUUCAACCUUGGCCCUUGUGUACCCUCAAUCCCUGGAUUAGAUCGAUCCCUACUUGCUUAUACUAUUGAUGAUAUCUAUAGGGUUAAAUUAUGCGCUUGCUUUGAGCGUAUCAAAGCUCUCCUGCUUUUGAUCACAACUAUACCAGUCUUGCAACACGAUUUGCCAUGGAUUGACCAGAAUCUGGAAGUGAAGUUCAACGGUGAACAGUUGCCGAUCUAGCUUUUGAGCUUGAUCGCGGCCGAUCAAGGCCAAAUCGACCUUAGCUCCAGGUACUUGACAGAGAGUGUUCUAUAUGUUAUCUCGGCUGUGAGAGAAGAAGCAGUGGGAUUUUGAGGUGAGUAAAUCUCAUGGUGUUUUGGUUGUGAAAUUAGCUAUGUUUUAAUUUAGUAGAUUUAAAUUGUUAGCAUGUAAAAUCGUAUUUAACAAAAUAAAUAUAUAUUUUUUAAAUAUAUGAACUUGAUUGUCAACGGUUCAUGGGUAAGUUAAAAAAAUGUUUUGUUAUAAAAUGAUUUUUGAGUGGUAUAAUUUGUAAAACUAUAGUUGGUAUUAGUGACAUUCCUGAGUGGAUGACUACGUGUGUGUAUAUAUAUAUAUAUUUACAUGAAAAAUAUAUAUCUUACUGGAAUUGGACGUUUUGUUUACUUUUGUUGUGCGAUGUGAUUUUGAGGAAAACAGAUGAAAAUGGACAGAAAGAUGGUUUUGUUGGAUUGAGCUUUGAUUUAGGUGUGUACGAUUUUGAUGAAGGUUUUGAGAUGUGAACAUAUUAUUUUGGAAAUGGUUUCGCUAUUGUUUUGCGGUGGUUGGAGAUGCGGAAACAAUAUUAUAUGAUAACCAAUGUUGUGAUCUGUGUGAUGAUUUUGUGUAAAGAACGUGGAUGAUUUUGUGUAAAUGAAUUGGAUUGUUAUUAAGUGAUUAAUGUUGAGAUUCAUGUUAUGGUGAUUAGUGUUAUAAAUGGAUAAAUUUGUAUUGAUUUCUAGUUUAUUUCUAGUAUUGAAUUGCUUAUUUUUAUUAGUAAUCUCCUGAACUAAUUAUCUGCAGGGAUUGCUAUUUCUUUGUAUUAUUUAAGCUGCAUGUAAUCACCUUAACUAAAUCAUAUGCAGGGGUUACCAUAUUGUUUUGGAAUUGUUUGACUUUAUUAUUCUGACCUACUAUUGUGGUUGGAGUUUACUCAUACAAGCUGUCAAAAGCUUACCGGGUUUAUUGUUGCAACCCGGUGCACUAUUCAAUAGUGUAAAUAUUGAUCCUGCAGGUUAGAGUAGUCGUAGCUAAAGUAAGAGUUUUGUUGUCGCAACUGUAGGUGUUCAGAAGUUAAUUUUGUUACUUUGACCUUUUUUAGACUUCUGUUUGUAGCAAGCUCUGAGAGAGCAUUUACUUAUUAUUUUGUUAACGCAAUUUAAUUUGUAAACUUAUGUAAUAUCAUAUAUGACGUUAAAGAACAAGUCUGUAUUGACAUUGUGAGUUCGAAACUUAGUAGUAGACUUGUUCUAAAAAGAAAAUUUUCCUGGUCUUUAGGGUCGAUGUUCGAAUCAUCACGCCCAGUGUAUUUGUGCUUGAAAAUCAGGGCGUGACAUAGCAAGCCAAUCACACAUAGUACUUAGACCCUGACAUAAAUAAUUAGCUAA